CCUACGGGGGGCUGCAGUGGGGAAUAUUGGACAAUGGGGGCAACCCUGAUCCAGCCAUGCCGCGUGUGUGAAGAAGGCCCUCGGGUUGUAAAGCACUUUCAGUGAGGAAGAACGCCUGGUGGUUAAUACCCAUCAGGAAAGACAUCACUCACAGAAGAAGCACCGGCUAACUCCGUGCCAGCAGCCGCGGUAAUACGGAGGGUGCGAGCGUUAAUCGGAAUUACUGGGCGUAAAGCGCGCGUAGGUGGCUUGAUAAGCCGGUUGUGAAAGCCCCGGGCUCAACCUGGGAACGGCAUCCGGAACUGUCAAGCUAGAGUGCAGGAGAGGAAGGUAGAAUUGCCGGUGUAGCGGUGAAAUGCGUAGAGAUCGGGAGGAAUACCAGUGGCGAAGGCGGCCUUCUGGACUGACACUGACACUGAGGUGCGAAAGCGUGGGUAGCAAACAGGAUUAGAUACCCGAGUAGUC
rnacentral:rRNA from 1 species